rnacentral:rRNA from 1 species
UACGUAGGGUGCAAGCGUUGUCCGGAAUUAUUGGGCGUAAAGAGCUCGUAGGCGGUCUGUCGCGUCUGCUGUGAAAACUCAGGGCUUAACCCUGAGCUUGCAGUGGGUACGGGCAGACUAGAGUGCGGUAGGGGAGACUGGAAUUCCUGGUGUAGCGGUGAAAUGCGCAGAUAUCAGGAGGAACACCGGUGGCGAAGGCGGGUCUCUGGGCCGAUACUGACGCUGGAGGAAGCGAAAAGCGUGGGGAGCGAACAGG